GGAUACGAAACUCCUCUAUGCACACAUAUAAAAUCUCAUAAGGAAACGUCAUAAACGUCACAUCCGGCUGUCCUCACCCUUGUUUCGCUGCAUUCAUGGCUGCCAGGGUGACAAGAGAUGGGAAAGUCAUGCAUUGGUACUGAGACUGCAUAUACUAAAAAAAAAGGA